rnacentral:lncRNA from 10 species
CGCAGUCCGAGAGUCCAGACGCAUGCCGACUGGAGGACCAAAGAGAUUAGCACGAAGAAGGAUGAUCUUCCACAAAAAGAGCUAUGUACAGCUAUAAUGGAAAAUACUCGGUGAGGAGAAACGAAAUAAAAGGCAAUACAGCGUAGCCAAACCCGGGUUAGCUGCGGGUGGAGUUCAAGAGCGCGCCGCGGUCCCGCCCCCGCCAGCCCCGCCCCGGCGAGAAAAGCGUAUGCAAAUUUUCGAGCGGCCGACGCGCGGUCUUCUGGGUAAAACCGAGCCGCCGCUUUUGCGACCCUUCGGGAGCCUCAGAAAACAAAGAAUUGGGGUGUCGUCGAAAGCUGUGGAGGCUGGAGAGUACAGUAUGAAGUGGAGGAGUAACUAUCCUGCGGAGAAAACUGACAGACGCAACCUCAGCCAGAUGGUGGAGGUCAACAUCAAGUACACGUCAUAUGAUGUCAUGAAAACGGCAUUUUGCCUGUGACAGUCCUUCCCAAGACCCUUAAGCUCAGUCUAAACAUGAGGAAAACAUCAGAGAAAUUCCAAUAGAGGGGCAUCCUACAAAACACCUGACCAGUACCCCUCAAAACUGUCCAGGUCAUCAAAAACAAGAACUCUGAGAAACUGUCACAGCAACAGGAGCCAAGGGAAACAUAACAACUAAAGGUAAUGAGGUAUCCUGGAAAAGAGUGUGCAACAGAAAGAUGACAUUUUUCCUUAGGUAGAAACUAAGGAAAUAUGAAUAAAGCAUGAACUCUAGUUAAUAAUAAUACAUCAAUACUGGCUCAUUAAUUGUAAUAAACCACAUUAAUGUUAGAUAUAAUAAUGAGAUAUUUGUAAUUUUUCUGUAAAAAAGUUUAUUUUUUAAAAAGAACAGCCCAUCACUUAAGUGAGUUAUUUAGCUUUUGUCUGGUGAAAUCUUAAGCUUAUCUGCACAGUUGCAUUACUGGUUGCAGGUAGGGGUGUUAUUCAUGACAGAAACAUCCCUUCAUACAUCGUUCAAGGCUAAGGUAAAGAGGACUAUUGUUUAUUUGGGGGAAAGCUGACGUCAGCUUUUCCAGGAUGGCAGUUUACUUGGUAGGUCUGAGCAGAGAAGGCCUCGCUAAGCCCCGGACAGUCAAGUUUCAAUGCGUUGCCUAGAGGAACUGGGGAGCCUGGAAACUCCCGAAGAAGACUGAGUGGGUAGAUGCACCUGAGCCCCAGAGAAAUAGGACAGGAGAGGUCCAGGGUGUCAGCCAGGAGGACAGAAGGCAGUUCCAGGCACUUUCACAGCUCAGGCCCUUCUCCUGGGUUUCCAUUUCCCUACUGAAGAAAGGGAUACAUGAAAAAGUCCUUGCCCAGAAGACCACUCUGAUAAUUAACUAUAAAAACCUCUUUGUGCCUAACCUCCUCAUCUGUAAAACAUGGACAAUAAUAACAGCUGCCUCGUGGGUUGUUGUGAGGGUUAAAUAAAGUGUGUAUGUAAACUGUGCCUGGCACGUGGUAAGGGUACUUUUUUUUUCCCCCUAUUUCUGCUUUCUUCAGCCCUUAGGUUUAUAAAACCAACUUCUUCUGCAUGGCUCACUGGAAUACACAAUUCUGUUUUAUGGAAUGAGGUGUUACCUGAUUCUAAAGUCACGAAUAAAAGUCAAUCAAAAUCUUUAAAUUUGUUGUAAUUUUUUUCUUCCAACACCAUUAACUCUGCGUGACCCUUGACUCUGACAUUUUACUUAAUUAUCUACGUUUGUGCUUGUUUCCCCAGCUACACUCCUUGAAUGUAAGGAAUACUAUCAUCUUGCAUUUCCUCAGAAUUCCCAUAAUAAGUAGCACAAUGCUGGGUACACGGUAGGUGAUCAAUAAACCCUACUGUAUUGAUGUGAAUGAGACUG